rnacentral:lncRNA from 1 species
CUUCUCGGAACCAGCUUUAGAAAGGUCACCCUGCUCAAGGGCAUAUCUAUCAGGGCGGAGACGUGAGUCUGAAGCCAAGAGCGUAGCGGGAGCUGUGUCGAAGCUGUUUAUCUUGUGAUCAAAGUGGUUAAAUUUGUCAUGACCAUUUCUCCGGGUGAGUCAACCCAAGUUCGUCCAAAUAUCAGGUUGUGAACCUUAGUGAUAGGCGGUACCAAGUCCACAGCAUUUUUUUGAGGAUAUAUAAGCUGCAUGAGCUUAUAUGAAAACAUAAACAGAAUACCUUUUUUUUUUAACAACACUGAGUAAUUCCAUUUCAAGGCAAAGGCCAAAGAAGAGCCAAAGAAACAACAUCCAGGAGUGGUGAUCAUACACCAUGCAAACAAAUAAAGCAGAGAGGUUCAAUACAAACCCAAUAGGGCUGAAAGAAAUUAGGCACGCAGGCCGGCAGGAAAUAAAAUAACCACUAGAGCUUGAGUAUCCCAGGUCACGUGGCUGAAACGAGUAGGCUGAAGACAAUGUUCAAGUUUCUUCUGCUAUUGCCUGAUGAAGCUAAGAAGGUCCAUUCCUUGCGAUAUAAGAUUGGUAUAGAUGAUUCGAAGUCACACUUACUGCGAUUCUCGAAGCAAUGGAGUUGCUUGCUGGAAGAACAUAGUCUAGGCUCCAUGCCAAUAUUAUCUGUAACUUUGAGUUGAUGAUGUUUAAAAUUCGGUAGGAUUCAGGAGCACAUACCUGACCAUCCCAACGAUAUAAACAGCGUCGUGCAUGAGUAAAGGAAGUCUCGAAAAUGAUGUUAUCAAGUCUUAAGGUCUGCAUACUUUCUACUGCCCAUAAGAUAGCAUAUAGUUCAGCCUCUUCACGCGAUUGCACCAUAGAAUAAGAUCGACGACUAUGCAUUAGGACUUUCCCUCUUGUGUCACGAGUGAUCCAGGAGACUCCACAGUUAACUGACCCACUCACCCAGGAAACACCAAUGUUACAUUUAAGCAUUCCUGGCGAAGGAGCUUGCCAGACGAUGCGUUGAUGGUUAUACAGGGUCUGGUUCUGGAUCAUGUUCUCCUCUGGAAAGUUAGCAUUAAACCAGGAUUCAGCCUCUUCCUCGGCCUUGUUAACAAUAGAAGAUGGAGAUAACCGGAUUUUUUCAAACAUCAAACCAUUCCUAGCUUUCCAGAUGUGCCAUAACAACCAUGGAAUACUCCGUUUGAGCUUAACAGUGAUGUCUCUACUUUUUGUGCAAGCGACCAAGUGGUGAAGGUUCAGAAACACAGAGGUUGUAGACAGGCCACGAGGAGGUAAUGGGAGGUUCGCAGCACUCCAAACAUCUCGAGCUGUUGAGCAAGAGAAUAAGGUAUGACAUAUCGUUUCACGACCCAUCCCACACGACUUACAUGUAGUAUCAACCUGUAAACCACGUGAUCUCAGUUGAUCUGAGACUGCUAAUGCUCCAGCUAAUGCCCUCCACACAAAGUGUCGAAUCUUUGGAGACGUUUGCAAUUUCCAUAUACUUUUCCAUAGCAUUUUCUCCACAGACGGAAGGCCGUGGUGGUGCGAGGAGUUUAAGCUGGUAAGAGUUUCCGUUAGUUUGUAGCCAGAUUGAGAGGAGUAGGCUCCAUGACUAGUGAGACCCCACAUGAGCGCAACAGGCUUGUGCCUUUCCACUGUCAUAUUCAAAAUGGUGUUGGCAUCUUCUUCUACAAAUAAACUUCUGAUCUUUGACGCUUCCCACAAGUUGGAGUUUGGAAUCAGAAGGUCUGGAACCAUAAGAGUCAGAUCUACUUGUGCAUCCAUUCGGUACAUUGGAGGUCUAGGAAGUGGCCCCAUAAUCCAGUUCUCAGUCCAAGCAUAAGUCAUAGAGCCAUCUCCCACUCUUCUCAGUAGGCCUUUUUCCAACAGCUCUCUGCCAUGUAGGAUACUUCGCCAAGCGAAAGAAGGUCUUAAGCCGAGACCACACUCCAUAAAUUCUCCAUUCUUCCAAUACUUGCUUUUGAGAACUUUAGCGACAAGAGACUCUGGGUCUAUUAAGAUGCGCCAGACUUGUUUAGCUAGUAAAGACUGAUUGAAUCUGCUGAUAUCAUGGAAACCCAAACCACCUUCAUCUUUGCUUUUACAGAGCUUCUGCCACGCCACCCAAGGAAUUUUCUUCCUGUUAGACCCACUACUCCACCAAUACUCUAUCAUCGCGCUAGUGAGCCGGUCACAAAGAUCUUUGGGCAACUUGAAAACUGACAUAGCAUAAACAGGGAGCGCAAGAGCAAUAGACUUAAGUAAAAUUUCUUUUCCUCCUUGCGAGAGGGCCUUUGCAUACCAUCCAUUCAACCUCCCAGGAAGCUUUUCACGGAUAAAGUUUAAAAGCUCAACCUUUGAACCUUGGAAACAUUCAGGUAAUCCUAAAUAAGUACCAUCACCUCCUUCUUUAUCUAUCUCCAAAAUCCUUUUGAUCUCGGCUCGGUCUUGCUCUGAUACCUUGGCACCAAAGAUUACUGAAGAUUUCAGCUUGUUUAUCACCUGUCCUGAUGCUUCACCAUAGCAUCUGAGACAAUCAAUAAUGACUAAGCUCUCCUCCUUGGAAGCCUUACACAUCAGCAGCGAGUCAUCAGCAAACAGUAGGUGAUGUACUGCAGGGCCUUGCCGUCCAAGUCUGAUGCCAUAUAGAUCACCUUUCUUCUCAGCCAUAUUCAGAGCAUGCACUAAUGCUUCUGUGCACAGUAUAAAGAGAAAUGGAGACAUAGGAUCUCCCUGGCGAAUCCCUCUCUCCGGUUUGAUGAAGCCAUGAGUUUGACCAUUCAGCAAUACCGUAUAAGAUACUGUGCUAACACAAGACAUCACCCAAUUAACCCAUCUUCUAUUAAACCCGAUUUUCUCAAGAAGCGCUUCCAAAAAUUGCCAUUCGACCCUAUCAUAGGUCUUGGACAUAUCCGUUUUGAUCGCCAUAUACUGCUUCCCAAUUGCUUCAUUCGUUCUAAGUCCAUGGACCAUCUCAUGGGCCACAAGAAUGUUGUCAGAGAUGAGCUGACCAGAGACGAAAGCACCUUGUGUCUCAGAGAUAAUAUCAGGCAUAACAGAUUUCAACCUUUGGCAAAGUAUCUUUGACACUAUUUUAUACUGCACAGAGCAUAAGCUAAUAGGUCGCAUAUCAGACAUCUUGAUUGGUUUCUGAAUUUUUGGCAGCAAACAUAGAUGGGUGUGGUUCCAACCAGCCGGUAGCACCGCAGAGUUGAAGAAACUUUGAACUUCAGCAAUAACAGCAGGACCCACCACAUGCCAGAAUUUUUUAUAAAAUGUUCCAGUUAACCCAUCUUCACCUGGAGCACUAGAUCCUCUGACAUUGAAAGCCGCCACUCUGAUCUCCUCUUGGGAGACUGGUUUGGUCAGCAUCUCAUUCAUCUCUAGAGACACUCUGCCUUCGAAACGAUCCAGAAGGGAUUCCAAAUCAUGGGGAUUGGAGCUCAUGAAAAGAUUUGUAAAAUACUCUGCAACCAGGUUUCCUUUUGCCCCUUCAGAAAAGAAUUCAGUUCCAUUGUCAUCCUGUAGCAUCAGGACCUUAUUCUGGAACCGGCGCCCUUUAACACUGUUGUGGAAGAAAGUUGUGUUCUUGUCGCCUUCCUUUAGCCAUUGUUCUCUACUUUUUUGCCGCCAAAACAGCUCUUCCUGUCGAUGAGCUUCUGCAAGUUCAAUCUUGAGGUUCUUCAUAGUUAAAUGAUCAGGAAAGCGCUUAGAUAUCUCCACUUCGAGUUUGCUAGACAGACGCUCGAUAUUGCUACGAGCAUUGAUAUUAGACCCUCUCUUCCAUCUAGCUAGUUCUUUUCUACAGCUAGCAAUGUGAUCCAUAAUAUGAGUCACACCAUUGAGGUUAGCCAUAUUCCAUCCCUUGAUGACCGCUUCCUCAAACCAUUCUUUUCCAAUCAUGCGCUGAUCAAAAUAGAACCUUCCACGCCCUCUCUCCUCUGGCUCCAGAGCAAAGCUAACCUUGAUAGGCCUAUGAUCCGAAGCAUACAUGCGCUUAUACUCUGUGUUAGCUCGAGGAAAUAAUUUGAACCAACCGUCAUUACCAAAACAUCUAUCAAGCCGACACUGGACCCAAACUUUAUCUUUCUCCCCUAAACCAUUUGUUAUCUCUCUCCAGCCAGCCCAGGAAAGAUAGUUACCUGAGCUCCUAACUUCUUUGAUUUUACAGGAAAGAGCAAGGUUACAAAAAUCCCAGAAGGUGGACUCAUGUCUAGUUGCACCUCCUUCCUUCUCAGCAUUGCUCAUCAAUUCAUUAAAAUCACCGAGAAGCAGCCAAGGAUCAUUUCUCGUGAUUCCAAUAUUCAUCAGGUUAUCUCAUACCAGUUUGCGUUUCUCUCUUAUUGGGUCUCCAUACACGCAAGAGAUGUAAAAUACCAACGUUCCCAUCUUCACUCUAGCAUCAGUGAUCCUGUUACUGCUUGAUAGGAUCUCCACAUCAUAACACUUCUUCCAUAGCAAUGCUAAUCCACCACUACGCCCCACCGGCUCUACAGUUACCAUCUCAUCAUACCCCAACUCUAACCGCAUAUCAUUCAUAAACUUAUCUUUUUGUUUCGUUUCCAUCAAGAACAAGAGGUCAGGGAAAUAUUUUCUCCGAAUAUUCCUUAACCGAUGAACUGUCUCCGGACUACUAGCCCCUUGACAGUUCCAGCUCCAAAGGCUCAUUGGGAUGGCAGCGACUUCAAACUGGAAGCCACUGUAGGUUCUGAAAGUUUUUUGUUUUUGUUUUCUGAAGAAAAAUCCGGAGAGACAGCUUUCCGUUUCGAGCUCGGGCAUGGCCCUGUCUCGUUUGAAAGAGCUAGAGGCGCAGGCACCUUCAGAUCCUUGCCUGCAUUUCUUCUCUUCCAAGCAUGAGGACGUCUCCUCUGUGUUUUGGUUACACCAACACUUCCGGUGACACGCCCUUCCGUAGAAGGGCCAAGCUGAAAACCCGACGGGUUGAUAGGUGCAUAGCUAGCUGAGGACAUCGAACCAGAAGAUUCUGAAGCCUCCUCAUUGAUAGCAGCUCUGAAAGGUAACGGAGCCACAAUUUGAAGGUGCUUGUUUCAGUGCUGUGAUUCCAUGAGCUCAGUGUAGGAGAAUACAUGUCCUUUGCCUUUAUCAAGCUCCUUUGUAAUGCGCGUCAGAUGGACAGAUGAUGAAGCCAGGUUCUCUACAAUCCCUUGUUUAACAAGCUCAAUUCUGGCUAGACGUUUAGUCGGAUCCGCAUGAGCUAUGUAGAGCAUUGCCAUCUUGCGAUCUUCUCCUGAUAGCUCCGGGAACAGCACUGGAAAACCUGGAGGGCCACCCACCGGUUCUGAGAGGACUGGUGCCCUCUGUUUAAUUCUUGGAAUCUCAGUCGCUCUAUGAACUCUGUUAGGUCCCCUUUUGAUAAAAGGACACUUAACUUUCUCAUGAGUAUGUCGAAGACAAUUGAAACAACACUUGUGAAUCUUCUCGUAUUCAAACUCAAUGGUAACUGUCCCUCCUUUAACCGUGAGUUUGCGAGCAGCUUUGGCCGGGUUGUUUGUAUCAAACAGGAUCAGAGCUCUGAUGUACUCCUUUGUAUGUGAUACCUUAGGAUCAUAAGCCACUUCUUCAACUUUGCCAACCUCAGAAGCAAGCUUGUACAUGGUCUCUACCGUAAAGAAAUUGACCGGUAUAUUCCUGAUACGGAUCCAGACAAACAUGGUUUGUAAAAAGUUCUCCGGAGGAUUGGCUGUCCAGCGCUCCAACACCAUAGCCCAAUGGUUGUAGGACCAAGGCCUAUCAUUCACUACCGUAACAAGAUCUUCUUCUCGUUGAAAGACAAACUGAAAUCUGUCACGCGACAGAGCAAUACCAUGGACUCUCCCAUACACCCUCCAAGCUGUAGGCAUAUAUUCUAUCAUUCUAGCCAUCGAUUGACAGUCAGGAUUCAAUAGUCUCCCCAACAAGCUUGUUUCAUUCUCGUCGAAGACUCUGAAUCUUGGACUAUCGGGCAAGGUCAAGGGUUCUUCCUCCUCUAGUGACAUCGACUGAAUAGCUUUUUGCAGAAGAUCAGCCAUCUCUUCACAACAGUUAGAAAUUCCGGCGACGGAGGAGAAUUGGAGUAGCGAGAAAGUAGGUAAUAGAUCAAGCGUGAUUGAUGUGAUUUUGCCUCUAAAACCACAAAACUCGGUUAUGAUUUUUUGAGAAAUCAUAAUAGAAGGAAAGACUUGGGGAAUUGGGGAUUCGAAAAGGAAAUUUUCCAGAAAUUUUAAGGAAAAAGGCAAUGGAAUAAUGAGUGAUUUGCAACUUUCCAAAAAAGAAAUAAGGGAAAAGACCGUAACUGAAGCCGGUAAUUAAAGUCCACUCUAGAUGAAGGAAGUAAAGAUUUUUAAAAAAGGCAAUAAGACACCCCUUCGGUUCUCGCCGGAAAUCGCCUCAAAAGAGACAAAAGAUGACAUCCUCCUAUAAACCUCUAGAAUAGACAUUACAUAAACAGAAUACUAUGCAGCAAGAAGUUUCCUUCUUGAUUAAGAGAGCCUCUAACAAAGUGAGAGAGAGAGAAGAUGAUCAUAAAUAGUAACGAAAUUACCUGCCAACAGGGUAGACAUCAACAGAGUUACCCAAAAGCUUAGUUUUCAACUUGGAGGUGCGUCAUAAGUGAAGUGCUCGUUCUCGAAUUAACUUAUAUUAAUAUAACUGAGUCAAGAUGGACACCUUUAGUUGCAAACUAACUGAUAGCAAUGAAGUGAAUAGAUGAUGCACCUGCUCAGAAAGAAAUGAAAUACCAACAUGGUUGGCCAUCUCACAUGUCUCUCCAAGAAUAGGAUUGAAUGGCUUCCAAGUUCGUUGGUAGGCAAAGUAAACAGAUAUAGCCCAUGAUGCUGAACAAAAAGAAUAUAAAAGUAUAUAAAAGUCUAACAAAGUCGGAAGUCGAUAUAAGCAGUAGAGAUGAGUUAUACUUACAAGCAUAAACUAAACGCAAGUAAGGAUCCUCGCAUUCAUCCCGAGCCAAAGACCCGAACACCUAGGCCUAGUCUAAAGCUGGUGUGUUUUCCCAAUGAUAAGCUUUGCCAUUAGCAUAUUCGAACUUCUCUGUUCUACUUUUACUAUGGAUCAAAUGAUAUAAUAUUAAUCCGUGGCUACUUUUGUCGCACAUUGUUCAGCAAUUUUGAAUAUGAAAGGCUAUAUUCAUGUCACAUGCUCUCAUUGGCUGCUGCGUUGAUACCACAUAUUUUCAUUCUAAGUCUGUUUGGGACAUUUUUUGUUUUAUUGUACAUUUAUUAGGUCUGGACUUGCUCUUCCUUUAGGGAGGAAUGGUGUUCAACCACCAUAGAACACUGAGCAAAUGACUUGUGAGGUUAGACGUGUGGAAUUUUAUAGUGGUUUGAGUUUUCACAAAAAUUCGAGGAGCCUAGAAUGAGGAUUGAACUGCCCAUGUUUUCGAAGAGAAAUGCUUCAUAAGGUUCCUAUAACCUUUCCUUCUAAGAUUUGUCUGUGUUUCAUCUUCCUAUCUUUAGAAAAUUCAAGUUCUAAUCGAUUUGAGUCAUCAGCUUAAGGGAACAAAAAAAUUAGAAAUUGUGAACGCAAUGAACAUGACUGGUCACAGUAAGAAACACAAAAGCAGGACACAAACAUAACAAUAGUCUCAACUUAAAAAACACAACACUUAGUAGUUCAAAAAUCAUAAGGUCUCCAAAAUAUAAAAACAGACAUGACAUAUAUGAAAAACGAAACGUACGUAGUAGAUAUCUUAAAGAGUGAUGAUUGAUUACUCAUUGUUGUUGCGAGGAGGUGGUGAAACACGCACUUUGAGAACACCAAACUCUGCAUCCCAAGAGAUGUUGUGGUUCAAAAGCGGAAUCCCAUAGGAACAGCAUUGACGAUUGCUGACGGCUCCAAGGAAAAUACGGCAACUCUCAUCGUGCUCAUGCACCUCCUUGUUCUCACCAUAGAACUUGAUCUCGUUCUCGUUGGGAAGCACGAACAUGUCAUCGCCGCAAACACCAGGCAUAUCCACCGAGAAGUGAAAACAUCCAUCAGAUGUUCGUUGGGAAGCCAACGUGUCCUUGCGACCUUUCACCACAAACGGAUGACCCUCCACUUCAACCCAGUUAAAUGAAUUCACAUCGUAUCUCCCAGAUUUGCCUAUAAAAAACGACAACCAACGAAGAGUAUUACAAUAAUGGAUAAUACGCAAAAAGGUGUGAUUUUGAAGGAAUUCGAACCUGUGUUAGGAGGCAGAAAGUGAGUACACUUGUUGUCGUGGUCCUUCACUUUGACCCUUGCGAGAAUCAUCCUCAAGACUCCAUCUUUCAUCUUGGCAUCCACGCCGGUGAUCUCGCAGCAGUCGCAGCCCAGACCAGCUGUCCCGGAGUACUCGCGCACGUCUUCAGCCUUGUAGCCGUCGCGGUGGGUUUCUUCGCCGGAGAAAAAGACAACCUUUUGUCUCACGGCGUCGACUCUGUAGCGGAUAGCGUACAUUCAGGUAAUCCUAAAUAAGUACCAUCACCUCCUUCUUUAUCUAUCUCCAAAAUCCUUUUGAUCUCGGCUCGGUCUUGCUCUGAUACCUUGGCACCAAAGAUUACUGAAGAUUUCAGCUUGUUUAUCACCUGUCCUGAUGCUUCACCAUAGCAUCUGAGACAAUCAAUAAUGACUAAGCUCUCCUCCUUGGAAGCCUUACACAUCAGCAGCGAGUCAUCAGCAAACAGUAGGUGAUGUACUGCAGGGCCUUGCCGUCCAAGUCUGAUGCCAUAUAGAUCACCUUUCUUCUCAGCCAUAUUCAGAGCAUGCACUAAUGCUUCUGUGCACAGUAUAAAGAGAAAUGGAGACAUAGGAUCUCCCUGGCGAAUCCCUCUCUCCGGUUUGAUGAAGCCAUGAGUUUGACCAUUCAGCAAUACCGUAUAAGAUACUGUGCUAACACAAGACAUCACCCAAUUAACCCAUCUUCUAUUAAACCCGAUUUUCUCAAGAAGCGCUUCCAAAAAUUGCCAUUCGACCCUAUCAUAGGUCUUGGACAUAUCCGUUUUGAUCGCCAUAUACUGCUUCCCAAUUGCUUCAUUCGUUCUAAGUCCAUGGACCAUCUCAUGGGCCACAAGAAUGUUGUCAGAGAUGAGCUGACCAGAGACGAAAGCACCUUGUGUCUCAGAGAUAAUAUCAGGCAUAACAGAUUUCAACCUUUGGCAAAGUAUCUUUGACACUAUUUUAUACUGCACAGAGCAUAAGCUAAUAGGUCGCAUAUCAGACAUCUUGAUUGGUUUCUGAAUUUUUGGCAGCAAACAUAGAUGGGUGUGGUUCCAACCAGCCGGUAGCACCGCAGAGUUGAAGAAACUUUGAACUUCAGCAAUAACAGCAGGACCCACCACAUGCCAGAAUUUUUUAUAAAAUGUUCCAGUUAACCCAUCUUCACCUGGAGCACUAGAUCCUCUGACAUUGAAAGCCGCCACUCUGAUCUCCUCUUGGGAGACUGGUUUGGUCAGCAUCUCAUUCAUCUCUAGAGACACUCUGCCUUCGAAACGAUCCAGAAGGGAUUCCAAAUCAUGGGGAUUGGAGCUCAUGAAAAGAUUUGUAAAAUACUCUGCAACCAGGUUUCCUUUUGCCCCUUCAGAAAAGAAUUCAGUUCCAUUGUCAUCCUGUAGCAUCAGGACCUUAUUCUGGAACCGGCGCCCUUUAACACUGUUGUGGAAGAAAGUUGUGUUCUUGUCGCCUUCCUUUAGCCAUUGUUCUCUACUUUUUUGCCGCCAAAACAGCUCUUCCUGUCGAUGAGCUUCUGCAAGUUCAAUCUUGAGGUUCUUCAUAGUUAAAUGAUCAGGAAAGCGCUUAGAUAUCUCCACUUCGAGUUUGCUAGACAGACGCUCGAUAUUGCUACGAGCAUUGAUAUUAGACCCUCUCUUCCAUCUAGCUAGUUCUUUUCUACAGCUAGCAAUGCGAUCCAUAAUAUGAGUCACACCAUUGAGGUUAGCCAUAUUCCAUCCCUUGAUGACCGCUUCCUCAAACCAUUCUUUUCCAAUCAUGCGCUGAUCAAAAUAGAACCUUCCACGCCCUCUCUCCUCUGGCUCCAGAGCAAAGCUAACCUUGAUAGGCCUAUGAUCCGAAGCAUACAUGCGCUUAUACUCUGUGUUAGCUCGAGGAAAUAAUUUGAACCAACCGUCAUUACCAAAACAUCUAUCAAGCCGACACUGGACCCAAACUUUAUCUUUCUCCCCUAAACCAUUUGUUAUCUCUCUCCAGCCAGCCCAGGAAAGAUAGUUACCUGAGCUCCUAACUUCUUUGAUUUUACAGGAAAGAGCAAGGUUACAAAAAUCCCAGAAGGUGGACUCAUGUCUAGUUGCACCUCCUUCCUUCUCAGCAUUGCUCAUCAAUUCAUUAAAAUCACCGAGAAGCAGCCAAGGAUCAUUUCUCGUGAUUCCAAUAUUCAUCAGGUUAUCUCAUACCAGUUUGCGUUUCUCUCUUAUUGGGUCUCCAUACACGCAAGAGAUGUAAAAUACCAACGUUCCCAUCUUCACUCUAGCAUCAGUGAUCCUGUUACUGCUUGAUAGGAUCUCCACAUCAUAACACUUCUUCCAUAGCAAUGCUAAUCCACCACUACGCCCCACCGGCUCUACAGUUACCAUCUCAUCAUACCCCAACUCUAACCGCAUAUCAUUCAUAAACUUAUCUUUUUGUUUCGUUUCCAUCAAGAACAAGAGGUCAGGGAAAUAUUUUCUCCGAAUAUUCCUUAACCGUUGAACUGUCUCCGGACUACUAGCCCCUUGACAGUUCCAGCUCCAAAGGCUCAUUGGGAUGGCAGCGACUUCAAACUGGAAGCCACUGUAGGUUCUGAAAGUUUUUUGUUUUUGUUUUCUGAAGAAAAAUCCGGAGAGACAGCUUUCCGUUUCGAGCUCGGGCAUGGCCCUGUCUCGUUUGAAAGAGCUAGAGGCGCAGGCACCUUCAGAUCCUUGCCUGCAUUUCUUCUCUUCCAAGCAUGAGGACGUCUCCUCUGUGUUUUGGUUACACCAACACUUCCGGUGACACGCCCUUCCGUAGAAGGGCCAAGCUGAAAACCCGACGGGUUGAUAGGUGCAUAGCUAGCUGAGGACAUCGAACCAGAAGAUUCUGAAGCCUCCUCAUUGAUAGCAGCUCUGAAAGGUAACGGAGCCACAAUUUGAAGGUGCUUGUUUCAGUGCUGUGAUUCCAUGAGCUCAGUGUAGGAGAAUACAUGUCCUUUGCCUUUAUCAAGCUCCUUUGUAAUGCGCGUCAGAUGGACAGAUGAUGAAGCCAGGUUCUCUACAAUCCCUUGUUUAACAAGCUCAAUUCUGGCUAGACGUUUAGUCGGAUCCGCAUGAGCUAUGUAGAGCAUUGCCAUCUUGCGAUCUUCUCCUGAUAGCUCCGGGAACAGCACUGGAAAACCUGGAGGGCCACCCACCGGUUCUGAGAGGACUGGUGCCCUCUGUUUAAUUCUUGGAAUCUCAGUCGCUCUAUGAACUCUGUUAGGUCCCCUUUUGAUAAAAGGACACUUAACUUUCUCAUGAGUAUGUCGAAGACAAUUGAAACAACACUUGUGAAUCUUCUCGUAUUCAAACUCAAUGGUAACUGUCCCUCCUUUAACCGUGAGUUUGCGAGCAGCUUUGGCCGGGUUGUUUGUAUCAAACAGGAUCAGAGCUCUGAUGUACUCCUUUGUAUGUGAUACCUUAGGAUCAUAAGCCACUUCUUCAACUUUGCCAACCUCAGAAGCAAGCUUGUACAUGGUCUCUACCGUAAAGAAAUUGACCGGUAUAUUCCUGAUACGGAUCCAGACAAACAUGGUUUGUAAAAAGUUCUCCGGAGGAUUGGCUGUCCAGCGCUCCAACACCAUAGCCCAAUGGUUGUAGGACCAAGGCCUAUCAUUCACUACCGUAACAAGAUCUUCUUCUCGUUGAAAGACAAACUGAAAUCUGUCACGCGACAGAGCAAUACCAUGGACUCUCCCAUACACCCUCCAAGCUGUAGGCAUAUAUUCUAUCAUUCUAGCCAUCGAUUGACAGUCAGGAUUCAAUAGUCUCCCCAACAAGCUUGUUUCAUUCUCGUCGAAGACUCUGAAUCUUGGACUAUCGGGCAAGGUCAAGGGUUCUUCCUCCUCUAGUGACAUCGACUGAAUAGCUUUUUGCAGAAGAUCAGCCAUCUCUUCACAACAGUUAGAAAUUCCGGCGACGGAGGAGAAUUGGAGUAGCGAGAAAGUAGGUAAUAGAUCAAGCGUGAUUGAUGUGAUUUUGCCUCUAAAACCACAAAACUCGGUUAUGAUUUUUUGAGAAAUCAUAAUAGAAGGAAAGACUUGGGGAAUUGGGGAUUCGAAAAGGAAAUUUUCCAGAAAUUUUAAGGAAAAAGGCAAUGGAAUAAUGAGUGAUUUGCAACUUUCCAAAAAAGAAAUAAGGGAAAAGACCGUAACUGAAGCCGGUAAUUAAAGUCCACUCUAGAUGAAGGAAGUAAAGAUUUUUAAAAAAGGCAAUAAGACACCCCUUCGGUUCUCGCCGGAAAUCGCCUCAAAAGAGACAAAAGAUGACAUCCUCCUAUAAACCUCUAGAAUAGACAUUACAUAAACAGAAUACUAUGCAGCAAGAAGUUUCCUUCUUGAUUAAGAGAGCCUCUAACAAAGUGAGAGAGAGAGAAGAUGAUCAUAAAUAGUAACGAAAUUACCUGCCAACAGGGUAGACAUCAACAGAGUUACCCAAAAGCUUAGUUUUCAACUUGGAGGUGCGUCAUAAGUGAAGUGCUCGUUCUCGAAUUAACUUAUAUUAAUAUAACUGAGUCAAGAUGGACACCUUUAGUUGCAAACUAACUGAUAGCAAUGAAGUGAAUAGAUGAUGCACCUGCUCAGAAAGAAAUGAAAUACCAACAUGGUUGGCCAUCUCACAUGUCUCUCCAAGAAUAGGAUUGAAUGGCUUCCAAGUUCGUUGGUAGGCAAAGUAAACAGAUAUAGCCCAUGAUGCUGAACAAAAAGAAUAUAAAAGUAUAUAAAAGUCUAACAAAGUCGGAAGUCGAUAUAAGCAGUAGAGAUGAGUUAUACUUACAAGCAUAAACUAAACGCAAGUAAGGAUCCUCGCAUUCAUCCCGAGCCAAAGACCCGAACACCUAGGCCUAGUCUAAAGCUGGUGUGUUUUCCCAAUGAUAAGCUUUGCCAUUAGCAUAUUCGAACUUCUCUGUUCUACUUUUACUAUGGAUCAAAUGAUAUAAUAUUAAUCCGUGGCUACUUUUGUCGCACAUUGUUCAGCAAUUUUGAAUAUGAAAGGCUAUAUUCAUGUCACAUGCUCUCAUUGGCUGCUGCGUUGAUACCACAUAUUUUCAUUCUAAGUCUGUUUGGGACAUUUUUUGUUUUAUUGUACAUUUAUUAGGUCUGGACUUGCUCUUCCUUUAGGGAGGAAUGGUGUUCAACCACCAUAGAACACUGAGCAAAUGACUUGUGAGGUUAGACGUGUGGAAUUUUAUAGUGGUUUGAGUUUUCACAAAAAUUCGAGGAGCCUAGAAUGAGGAUUGAACUGCCCAUGUUUUCGAAGAGAAAUGCUUCAUAAGGUUCCUAUAACCUUUCCUUCUAAGAUUUGUCUGUGUUUCAUCUUCCUAUCUUUAGAAAAUUCAAGUUCUAAUCGAUUUGAGUCAUCAGCUUAAGGGAACAAAAAAAUUAGAAAUUGUGAACGCAAUGAACAUGACUGGUCACAGUAAGAAACACAAAAGCAGGACACAAACAUAACAAUAGUCUCAACUUAAAAAACACAACACUUAGUAGUUCAAAAAUCAUAAGGUCUCCAAAAUAUAAAAACAGACAUGACAUAUAUGAAAAACGAAACGUACGUAGUAGAUAUCUUAAAGAGUGAUGAUUGAUUACUCAUUGUUGUUGCGAGGAGGUGGUGAAACACGCACUUUGAGAACACCAAACUCUGCAUCCCAAGAGAUGUUGUGGUUCAAAAGCGGAAUCCCAUAGGAACAGCAUUGACGAUUGCUGACGGCUCCAAGGAAAAUACGGCAACUCUCAUCGUGCUCAUGCACCUCCUUGUUCUCACCAUAGAACUUGAUCUCGUUCUCGUUGGGAAGCACGAACAUGUCAUCGCCGCAAACACCAGGCAUAUCCACCGAGAAGUGAAAACAUCCAUCAGAUGUUCGUUGGGAAGCCAACGUGUCCUUGCGACCUUUCACCACAAACGGAUGACCCUCCACUUCAACCCAGUUAAAUGAAUUCACAUCGUAUCUCCCAGAUUUGCCUAUAAAAAACGACAACCAACGAAGAGUAUUACAAUAAUGGAUAAUACGCAAAAAGGUGUGAUUUUGAAGGAAUUCGAACCUGUGUUAGGAGGCAGAAAGUGAGUACACUUGUUGUCGUGGUCCUUCACUUUGACCCUUGCGAGAAUCAUCCUCAAGACUCCAUCUUUCAUCUUGGCAUCCACGCCGGUGAUCUCGCAGCAGUCGCAGCCCAGACCAGCUGUCCCGGAGUACUCGCGCACGUCUUCAGCCUUGUAGCCGUCGCGGUGGGUUUCUUCGCCGGAGAAAAAGACAACCUUUUGUCUCACGGCGUCGACUCUGUAGCGGAUAGCGUCGUCUGGAACACCGGGCAAGUCGACGCGGACGUAGAGGUUGUCGUUGUUAAGGACCUUGAUUUCCAUGAAACCCUUCGGACCGUAUCUCUGGUACGGGUUGUUGGUCGCGUGCAACCUCCCUGUAGAACGUAGACAGAGAGAGUCAAAGAAAGUAGGAAACUUUAUUCUUCAUGGAUGAGCUAUGUAACAAGUUUCAUGUUAAAUAGAGCCAAAGAAGAGAGUAGUAAGACUCAGAUCAAUAAAGAAUGAAACUUUAUUUCCAUGAAAAGAUUAAAUCUUUGCAACAAGUUUUCAUGUUAAGAGACGUUUCAUUUGUUUAUAACUUUGAAACAUGAACAUGAACAAAUGUUAUUAAGGGAGACUAAAUGGAAGAGACAAGGAGAAAUAAAGAAAGAAAGAGACGUACCAGGGAUGUAAGGAAUCCUCGACAUGUCAAUGUAUGCAGCCAUCUCUCUUUCGUCUUCUUUCUCUGUGUUCUCUCUCUCUCUCGGUUGCUUAGAAUCAAUGGAUUAUGAUUUUGUUGUUUGAUAUAAGACGAAACAGGAGGCUCUUUGACUGGUCAUCCACUUGCUUAAUGUUACUUCUAUCUUUUAAACAUUUUAACCACUGUUAAAAGAAUUGCCUUCCUUCUUUGAAUUGUUACCGUGGUAAUAACCCAAAUAGUACGAUAGCUGUCCAGGUCCUAUAGCUCUCUCCUUCAAUAUCUUUUUGAAUGCGACAAAAUAGAGAAAUGAGGCAACCUCGUCUCUCACUCUUUAUUGCAUGCAAGAAGUCGCUGACGUCAAUGAUUCUUAAAACAGAGCUGUUAAUCUUUUUUUUUACUCCCUCCUUAUCUACUUUCCACACACGACAAACAAAAGUUAACAAUGCAAUGCAACGUCCUUUCUUUGUUUUUGAAUCUAACUUUCUCUCUUGUAACAACCGUUUUUAGAUGUUUUUGCAUGAGUUGAACACACAAAACAAAAAAAAAAAGAUGUUUUGCAUGGUUUCUUGGUAUUAUUAUAAAGUUUUAUUAAUUUCAUCUGACCACAAUUUAAAGUUCAUCGUUUUAAGACAUGUUUUUGGUGACAUUUUUUUUUUUUUUUUGGCUCAACUACUACUUUCAUUUUCCAACUGAGUUCAUGUUUACAACAGGCAUAUCAGCCUCACAAACAGAUUUUAACCAAAUUGGCAAGAUAGAAUACAACUUAAGAACAUGAUUCUCUAAAGAAAAAGCUUCCUUCGCUACUCUAUCAGCUGCCUUAUUACCUUUUCUAGGGUAGAAAGUCACUCUGAGACCAUGAUUUCCAGAGAGAAUGUGUUGUAUUUCUUGCAAGAUCGGCUUCAGCUUUGGCCAUGUACUCUCCUUUCCAACGACCAUUCUUGCAAGAAUUUGUGAAUCGGUUUCAAAGAUCACCUGUUUAUAUCUAAGGCUACACAAAAUUGCAUUGCCCAUUUAAUACCUUCUGCUUCCGUCUCUAUAGGUGAAUUCAUUCUCUGGAGAUUUUUUGCCCCUGCCCAAAGCAUUUGUCCGCUGUUGUUGCGAGCGAUCCAGCGAACCCCACUGCGAUGAUGGUCCGUUCUCCAGGCACCAUCUGUAUUACAUUUGAUCCAUUGGGGAGGGGGCGCUUUCCAUUUGGUUCGGGUGUUGCUAAUGGGGGGUGAUCUGGUCAUCGUGUGUUCCUCCUCUUGUCUCCUUUUCCAUUCCUCCAUGUCCUCAGUUGCUUUUGCGAUCGAGCUUGGUGCUGAGUAGUCUAUUCCUUUGAAGAUGAAAUCGUUUCUGUUUUUCCAGAUUCUCCAAACCAACCAAGGCACUAGAUCAUCAUAGAUCUUGAGAUGAGGACUGUGAUGUUUUAAGUUCAGGACUCGGUAGAUAUUAGCAUACAAUGAGUCUGACAUCUCACCACUUGAAGGGGCUUGGAUAGGAGAUACCGCCCAGAUCAAGCGAGCAUAAGGACAAGUGAAUAGGAUGUGGUUCACUGUCUCGCUGCCCGUUCAACAUCUCCCGCAACUGCCAUCUUUAGCAAUGUGUCUGUAAUGCAUAUUUGCUGCAGCUGGUAGAGAGUCGCUGAUGCAUUUCCAUAGGAAAUGUCUGAUUUUGGGCUAGUUUGCAGCUUCCAGAUUUGUUGAUAGAGUUCAUCCAGACUCGGAUGGUUCACUUUUUUAGCUGCUUGAUCUGUAUUGAUGGAGUUUCUUUGGACCCAGUAGCCUGACUUCGCUGUGUAGAAACAUGUGUGUGUGUAGUCCCAUGCGUAUAUAUCGUUGCCUGCGCUCCCUUGAGGGUUUAUUGCAAGUAUUUUAUCUGAGGUUUCUGCAGUAAAAAUUGCUUCAACUGCUUCUCUGUUCCAUUCCUUUCCUGGGAUUGUCAUUAGUUCACUAACACACAUGUCGGGCUUCACUAACUGCCUGUAUCUGAUGGGGACUAUCCUGGUUGAGGUGGGUUUGAUUGCAGGGCUGCUUCCAAUCCAACGGUCUUCCCACACUUUUGUGGACUCACCAUUACCAAUCUUCUAGCUCCCUGCCUGAUCAACUUUUGAGCUGCUAAUAAGCUUCUCCAUGCAUAUGAAGGGCGAGAUCCGAGAGGAGCAUCUAGCGGGGUGGAGGAUCUGAAGUAUCGGCUCUUAUAUAUUAUUCCCAACAGUGAGUUGGGACAUGUGAUGAUCCUCCAUAGCUGUUUUCCAAGGAGGGCCACAUUAAAGUCUUCCAGAUCUCUGAAUCCUAGUCCAUCUUCGCUUUUGGACUUGGUGAGCUCACUCCAACUUUUCCAGUGCAUUCCCCUUGAGUCCUUAUUGUUCUUCCACCAGAAGUUAGACAGAAGUGACACUACUUGCCUACAGAUUGUCUUUGGUAGAAGGAAGCAUGCCAUAGUGUAAGUGGAUAGAGAAAGGGCGACUGCUUUCAGCAACACCUCUUUCCCUCUUGCGGAGAGAAACUUGUUUUGCCAUCCGUCGACCUUAUGCUCGAUCCUUUCUUUGAGGAAGCUCAUGAUUGAUACCUUGGAUCCUCCAAAAGACUCUGGCAGCCCCAAAUACAUAUCAUCUCCUCCAGAGUGUUCUAUGCCAAGCUUGCGUUUGAUGUCUUCUCUGCUCUCUUCGGGAAUGUUUUUACCGAAGUAGAUACUCGACUUCUGAUAGUUGAUCCUCUGGCCUGAAGCAAGGCUAUAUUCGUGGAGUAUUGAUCUAAUGCUGUUGAGUUCCUCAUCAGUGUUUUUGCAGUAGAACAUACUAUCAUCGGCAUAGAGGAGGUGAGAAACAGAAGGUGCUCCUCUAGCUAUCUCAAGUCCUGUGAUUUCACCUCUGCGCUCUGCCUGCAUUAACCUUUGCACUAGCAUUUCUGUACAUAUCACGAACAGGUAAGGCGAGAGGGGAUUCCCUUGCCUUAUACCUCUCGUUGGGCGGAUAUCACCGUAUGGAUUGCCGUUGAUCAGCACCUGGUACUCCACUGAGGUUACGCACUCCAUUAUAAGAUUGCACCAGUCUUCAGAAAAACCUAGUGUUUUCAUAGCUUUCUCGAGGAAGACCCACUCUACUCUAUCAAAAGCUUUGGAGAGGCCCGUCUUGAUGGCAAUGUGCUCCCUGGAGCAUCUGUUGUUGGAGUUUAGUGCGUGUAGGAGUUCAUGAGCAAUCAGUAUAUUGUCGGAUAUUAGUCUCUCCUCAACAAAAGCCGCUUGCGUUUCCGUAAUGAUGCUAGGUAGGAUCUUUUUUAAACGCUUGCUCAACAGUUUUGAUACAACCUUAUAUGUUUUUGGUGACAUUUACGUAGAAGAAAUUGAAAAAACACACUUAUUAACCAUAAAAGAUAAAAAUAAACACAAACCACAUGCAACAAUGUCUACUACUAUUUUAAGUGCGAUCAUCAAAUGCUUCAAAGAGGACAUACAAAUUAUGAUUUUAUAAGACAACUUGUAUAUAAUCUAGUUCUUAUGGAGAUGUUACGAGAACACAAGUAUACAAAGAGAAGACCAUAUCUUUAAUAAUAAAGUUAAACUAUAUGCCUUCUUAGGCAUCCACCUCAUCAAUCACCUAGGAGGGUUUUUGGACACCUGGCACUUCAAAAAAAGCAACAACCCAAUUUUUUUUCCAUUCUCAAUAAUCCUUCCGCAACCAUUAUGAGCUUCGUAUAGUUUAUUCCAAAAUUAAUGUCUAUUUGGGUUUAUAUUAGGUUAUUUUGUCCAGGCCCAAUUGUUUUUAUUGUCUCUAAGCACAAAACUUAGUGUAGGUUAUUUGAUCUGAGCUCUUUGCAUUCCGACGAAGCAGACGCCGAUUCACUUUCUGUAACGCCUUCUGUUUCCAUUUAUUUACUUCUUUAAUCCGACCAUUAACAUGCUUCAUCUCACUCGCCCCACUCCGUAGCAUUAAUUCCAGCUCAACCUCUUCAUAUCUAACCGGUGGAAGGUCUUCUAUAUAAAGCUCAGCCUCUUAGAUAACGGCGGUCACUGACGUCGUCAAGGUUAUAUCUCUUCUCGGUAGAUCUAAAACUGGACAUGCUAGAUUCAGACAAGCUCUUGCGACGACAAAAACUGAAGGUGGAGGAAGAGAUUGGAAAACGGAGGAGAAGACCGGAACAGAAGCAACAUCUAUCGAGGUCAUGUAAAAGAGACAGAAAACAGAGUAGUACGGUGGAUCUACGUUUACGGUUUAUUUUCCGGCACCAGUCCAUCGACGUCCUCCUUAAUCAUACAACCACAGUCAGACAAAAAGAAUGGUUUGUUUCUGUGUGUUUUACAAAUAUUGUUUACGUGGACUAAACUCAUACACUCAACCAUCUUCCUAAUUCCUCUUUCUCUUACCACUCCAUCUUGAAAGAUUGGGAUUUGGGAGCCAAAAGACUAAUUUUUGGGUAUAAAUAUAUUAUGUUAGUAAUUACAUAAACUUUUGUCCGAGACGAGACUUGAAUUGUUGUCUUGAUUCUUUCAUUUUGCAACGGUAAGAGCUCCUGGUAUGAGUCUGUUAAAGAUUAUAUUGUCUAAACCGAGUUCUGUGGCAAAAGGUGUGUCGAUGCGGAAUGGUCUGGCUCUGCGUUUGAUGAGAGAGAAGAGAAAAUGGUUUUCAAAUUAUCUUGGAAGACAAAGCUUUUUGACUCAAAAUUCUUUUCAUUUGCAACAGAUGGAUGCAGACAGUUCAUCAAGUUUUUUUUAUAUUUAUGAUACAGAAACUGAAACCAUACCUUCACCUCUUACAUAUGUAGCAGGGUACUCCACAACAUUUGCAUAAAGAGUUUUUGGGAAUCCUUGGUAGACAAUCUCUUAAGAGAGUUGACAGUGUGAUUAAAUGUUUCAGCUGUACAUUUGGAUUUGUGAGUCUGUAGUUUCCUAAUGUCAAACUGGAAAGUAUAAGGUGAACUAAAGAGAUGAGAACUGAUUCCAGUACUGUUGAAUGAUAAUGAUGUAAAUCAAGGCUACCUUCUCGACCUGUUUUUUUUUUUUUUGGUGUUGAACCUGGUGAGUUUAUGAGCACCCGCUGAGUUCCUCUACGUUUACAGAGAGCAGGAGAAACGCUUAAAAACUCAAAUUAGUCUUCAGAUACUAUAGACGUAGAUGCCGAUUAAUUUUUUGUGUUAGUGCGACUUUGAUGUUCUAAGGCUUUUGGGAUUGCCUGAGCAUUUUAUGUGGUUACAAAACUUUGUGGCUGCUUGUCAAUUGGACAGUCUUAAUGAGCCUUACAAAUGGAUCUAAAAGUUAUGUGGGAAUUAAAUGUAAAAUCCAAGUGCACCAAUGUUAGUUUAGUUUACUAACUAUUUAGGUAACCCAAACGUAUUGAACUACAUGAGAGGCCUCAAGGUUUAAAGAAACAAAAAUAAAAGAAAUAUACAUUUGAAUAAGAGUUUAACCAUAAUCAUGCAACACCAGUGGAGCAACCAUCACUUGCUGGUUUAACACACAGUGUCAGACACUUAACUUGGUGAUCAAUUCAUCCCAAAUGUCUGGGAUGGUCUCAUGGAUCUUCUAUUAUCUUCACUUCAUUUCUUAUGAUACGAACUCCAAAUUCUGAAAGCUAUUGGUUACAGGACACACACAUACAAAAAGAAGUAAUUUGUUCCAAUAUUAUUCACAUUUUUCAAUAUAAAAUAGUAUAUCAGCUGGUUAGCACUUAGCAUACAUGACUAAUCGCCUGAGAUGGCUUUGUCCAUCCAAAUUAUUGACGCUACUACUCCUGAAAGGUGGCAAAUACAAAGGCGAUGGCCGUGAAAGGUGGAGUCAUCCUACCAAGUCACCCCGGUCUGAGUACAAGUUCUAGGAAGUAUUAGGAAUUAUACAAUCAAGGGGAAAUGUGAUGUAUAUUGGUGUUGGCUCUGUCUCCUCCCAGUUAAAUUAAAAUGUAUAGAUUAAUUUUAAUUAUUAAGAAAAUUUAAAUAUUGAUUUUAAGACUUAUGUGUAAAAUUCCAACGCAUUAAGGAAAUGAACAUUAUUAUAUGUAUUACAGUUGGAGAUAAACUAUAAAACAAAUGAUUAUAUAUGAAUAUGUAAUCAAUUUAUUUCUAUAGUACUAAGAAAUAAAAAUUAAUUUUGUGUUAUUAUAAUGGUCUAAUCAGCUGAAUAAAAAUAAUAUAAUUUAAUAAUUUGAUUGAUAAUUUUCGUCUUUGUCAUUUCAGAAUUAUUAUAAAAGAUUCCCUUAACUAAUAUAUCAGAUAAAUUUCUAACUUAGCAAAAUAAUAUCAAUUACAAGUAAGGAAAAUUACAGCAUGAUGCAAUAAUAUUUUUAUUUUUAAAUUAUUGUUAAUAUUUUAUAUAUAUUAAUACUAUUUUUUAUUUAUUUUAAGGAUCCAAAUCCGGAUCCGGAUAUCCGCCGGAUAUUAUAAUUUUUAGAAGGAUAUCCGACACCCGGAUAUCCGCGAACCCCGGAUCCGGAUAAGGAUAGUAAAAUUAUGGAUCCGCCGGAUAAGGAUCCGGAUAUCUUAAAAUUGCCCGGAUACCCGAUCCGUCCCAGGCCUAACUGGUAAUAUCAAUUCAAUAUCACUAUCUUCAUUAAAAUUCAAAAAAUGAAUUCAAAUCAUCAACUAUCAAUCAUUAAAAAAACUUCUUAAAAUCAAAAAAAAUAUCAUCGCAUGUGCUAGCCAAUAUUCGAGGGGGCAACAUCUAUAAUAUUACGAAAUCAUCAACAGUUUUAGUCAAGGCCGCUCAAAUCAAACCGGCGUACAAAAAUAUAAACAUCAACAUUUUGACAACAGUUCCUUCCCGCAGGUAACACAUAUGCUUAUUACACACGUUUUAAUUCAAAUUAGUCUCUAAAAUAGAAUUUCAAAUGCCGUUCCUUCCAUAUAUUGUCAAUAUGGUACUAAAGAGUAUAAUUAUGUUCUCUAAAUAAAACAUCAACUUUACUUUAUGUUUAAAUUCUAAUUAAAUUAACUUUGUUACGACUAUCAGUUUUUUAUUCUAUAUUUAUCGAAUCGAUUAGUCAUAACCACUUAUGAUAUUCCACCUUGAACUAAUCAAAACAAAGUAAUACAUUACGGUCGCAUGAACCCAGCGCUGCGCCGGAAUACCACUAGUAUCUCUAAAAAGUAUAAGCAUAACAAAACACAAUUACUUUUGAAUCGAGAUGGAAACAAAGAUACAAUAAGACAUAAACACAAUCUUACGUUUCACCACUCAAACUACGUAAGCAACACUUUUUCACCCUCGAACAAAAGUAUAAAACAACUUUGAACUCAUCUUCACGAGUCCCAUGAACCACACCAUUGAGUAUGUCGAUGUCAUACAUUAAAAUCACGAAACGUUUGCCUCAUUCAGUUGAUACAUUACCAUAUUGCCAAGGAUAAAAUUCGAUCGAUUUGAGGUCCACAUCACUGGAGGCACCACCGCUCGAGCUCGCUGCAGCAUCUCGGUGUUCCGAGUACUUCCCGUUGUAUUGGUAUAUUUCAAUAUCUCCCCACGGAGUAGAUGUGAUCUCAUCCGUUAGAUCGAACCAUCUUGGUGUGAACGUCUGUCCCUUUGUUUCUCGUGUCCUCUUUUCGGCCCUUUGUCUCUCCUCAAGGCUGAGAGUAAAAGAAGACACCACGGAAUAAAGGACUUGAACUUUGUGACAAACAAGCGAGUAGGAAGUGAGUAAAGAAGAAGAACCUGUGUUUCUCGGAACCAGCUUUAGAAAGGUCACCCUGCUCAAGGGCAUAUCUAUCAGGACGGAGACGUGAGUCUGAAGCCAAGAGCUUAGAAGGAGCUGUGUCGAAGCUGUUUAUCUUGUGAGCAAAGUGGGUGUACUGAAACUUGUCAUUCUUGGGAACAUCAGCCACAUGCCACACCUGAAGGAAGCAAUAAAGAAUAGAAAAAAAAAACAUAAGAAAAUACUAUCAGGUUCUAUGUGGUAAGAGGGAAACAAACAGGCGACCUCUUUAAGCUCUGUCCCUGGAAGAGGUUCACCCUCAGCAUCACAAGGUUGGUAGCUGAUUUUCUCAUUCCAUUUUCCUGUCAUCAUGAUUUUAGGUUCUUCGUCUGCGCUGUAAACAUAUCCAUCCACUUCAUAGCGACCAGACCUGAGAACAAAGGACGUACACACUUUUAUCAAUAAAACAUGUCGGGAUCACAUGAACAAUAAGAGUAUAUGUGGUUGUCAAUUUACCCGAACCAACCACAUGGCUGGAAAUAAAGAACAACUUUGUCUCCAGUGGUUAUAUUUGUCAUGACCAUUUCUCCUGGUGAGUCAACCCAAGUUCGUCCAAAUAUCAGGUUGUGAACCUUAGUGAGAGGCGGAACCAGAUCAAGAACCACGCCAUCUUUUUUGA